rnacentral:rRNA from 1 species
CCUACGGGUGGCAGCAGUGGGGAAUAUUGCACAAUGGGGGAAACCCUGAUGCAGCGACGCCGCGUGAGUGAAGAAGUAUUUCGGUAUGUAAAGCUCUAUCAGCAGGGAAGAAAAUGACGGUACCUGAUUAAGAAGCCCCGGCUAACUACGUGCCAGCAGCCGCGGUAAUACGUAGGGGGCAAGCGUUAUCCGGAUUUACUGGGUGGAAAGGGAGCGUAGACGGGAGGACAAGUCUGGAGUGAAAUGCCUGGGCUUAACCGAGGAACGGCAAUGGAAACUGUGCAGCUAGAGUGCAGGAGAGGUAAGUGGAAUUCCUAGUGUAGCGGUGAAAUGCGUAGAGAUUAGGAGGAACACCAGUGGCGAAGGCGGCUUACUGGACUGUAACUGACGUUGAGGCUCGAAAGCGUGGGGAGCAAACAGGAUUAGAUACCCGGGUAGUC